UGGCGACGUUAAAAAUGAUCCAUUUAUGUUUAUUUUUAAUUGGAAAUGGCUAUUGUUUUUGUGUAACUUAAUAUAGUUUUGUGAUUCUUUUUUAUUCACCUUAAAUUGUGAUUAUUAUAUUUAUUUUGUCACAGAUUAAAGUCAAUCUUCUAUUGUUUGGCCAUAAAUACAAAGUUUGUUGAUGACAAAAACUCAAGCCCAGCAUAGAGACACAAAGGAUAAAGGGUAGACCGUUAACAGUUGAUUAUCAACAUUGUAAUAUCAAAUGGUUAUGGUUAAAGUCACCAAAAAGGCCAAGUAAAAACGCUAUCAUUGAACAUUGGGUUAACUUCACAGAGUUACGCCUGCAGAAGCAAAUAAUGCAACAAAACACAACUCUUAUUGUUAAAAGUCAUUUCUUCCCAAUCACAAUCUGUCUUUUUCCCAUUCCCAUUCACCGAGUUAAUACUGAUUAUCAUCAUUAUCAUCAUUAUUUUUUUGUCCUUCUUAAUCAUUUUUCUGGACUUGUUGGAAAAGGCAAACUGAAAGAUCUCAAUUGUUAUAUCAUGAAUAAGUUAACCUUAUAAACUGAUAUACAAUGUACCAUAUAUUACCACAGGUAAGCAAUAGGGAAGACAACUGACAAUGAAAUUAAUCGAUCAAUGAUUUAAACCUUUUCCCUCUCCUUUGAUUCCUAUCCACUUGUAAUUAUAAAACCUUGAUUUUUUCAAUCAAUCAUCUCAAGAUGGUGAGGAAAACAAAAACAGCGAAACAAAAAUUGAUCUCAAUUGAGCUCAAUUUCAUUCCCAUGACAAAGCAAACUGAAGAUAAUGAAUUGUGAAUCAAGUUUAAACCUUUCUCUAUUUUACUUUGAUUAUAAUUAAUUAUUCCUUCAAUCAAUUGUCUUGCUCAAUUUGAUGAUCAUCUUUGUUGAAUUGCUUCUGGAACCAUUGUUAAAAUGAGAAUCAAGAAUGUCUUAAAUUAUGAUAAAUUAUCUUUAUUAUUAUCAACAGAUCCCACAAAAGCCCAACACAAUGCUCGGUCCUUCUCAUUGUCAACCUUAAAAUGUUCAACAUUGAUCAAUGAUGGAAACCUUUGAGUCAGAUAAUCUUGAACAUUUCACUUUCCCCUUUCACCUAAUAAUAACCAGAUUAAUGUUAACCAAGCGCAAUAUUGCAAGAUAAUUGAAUAACUCACAAAAUUGUAAAUUCAUUCUUCAAGCAAAAGCUCAAAUGUUUUACACCAACAAAUCUCAUCAUUAUAAUGAUAAUGAUGAAAAAAUUGAGAUACUUUUUUCUUGCUGUUACAAAUCAACUCAAUGUAAUCUUUUCAUUGCCUUGAGCAUUUGUUAUUCACUCAACAAUACAUAAUCAGUUUCAUCCUUAACAUAAACAUUGAUGAAAAUUGUAUCUAUUAAUCAACUCAAUCAGUUGAUUACAAUGAACCUUUAACAAAAGGUUAAAAAAAGCGAGGAGCCAAAAAUUUGGGUAAAUCUUGAGCUUCAAAUGGAUCCAUAAAAGCUGUUUGUUUGUUAAACAUUAAACGAUGUAAAUAAAGCAAUUGACAAUUGUUGA